UACGUAGGGUGCAAGCGUUGUCCGGAAUUAUUGGGCGUAAAGAGCUCGUAGGCGGUCUGUCGCGUCGAAUGUGAAAACCCGGGACUCAACUCCGGGCCUGCAUUCGAUACGGGCAGACUAGAGUUCGGUAGGGGAGACUGGAAUUCCUGGUGUAGCGGUGAAAUGCGCAGAUAUCAGGAGGAACACCGGUGGCGAAGGCGGGUCUCUGGGCCGAAAUUGACGCUGAGGAGCGAAAGCGUGGGGAGCGAACAGG
rnacentral:rRNA from 1 species